GAUGAACGCUGGCGGCGUGCCUAAUACAUGCAAGUCGAGCGAACGGACGAGAAGCUUGCGUCUCUGAUGUUAGCGGCGGACGGGUGAGUAACACGUGGAUAACCUACCUAUAAGACUGGGAUAACUUCGGGAAACCGGAGCUAAUACCGGAUAAUAUUUUGAACCGCAUGGUUCAAAAGUGAAAGACGGUCUUGCUGUCACUUAUAGAUGGAUCCGCGCUGCAUUAGCUAGUUGGUAAGGUAACGGCUCACCAAGGCAACGAUGCAUAGCCGACCUGAGAGGGUGAUCAGCCACACUGGAACUGAGACACGGUCCAGACUCCUACGGGAGGCAGCAGUAGGGAAUCUUCCGCAAUGGGCGAAAGCCUGACGGAGCAACGCCGCGUGAGUGAUGAAGGUCUUCGGGUCGUAAAGCUCUAUUAUUGGGGAAGAACAUAUGUGUAAGUAAAUGUGCACAUCUUGACGGUACCUAAACAAAAAGCCACGGCUAACUACGUG
rnacentral:rRNA from 1 species